AACGAACGCUGGCGGCAUGCCUAAUACAUGCGAGUCGAACGAGAUCUUCGGAUCUAGUGGCGCACGGGUGCGUAACGCGUGGGAAUCUGCCCUUGGGUUCGGAAUAACUUCUGGAAACGGAAGCUAAUACCGGAUGAUGACGUAAGUCCAAAGAUUUAUCGCCCAAGGAUGAGCCCGCGUAGGAUUAGCUAGUUGGUGGGGUAAAGGCCCACCAAGGCGACGAUCCUUAGCUGGUCUGAGAGGAUGAUCAGCCACACUGGGACUGAGACACGGCCCAGACUCCUACGGGAGGCAGCAGUAGGGAAUAUUGGACAAUGGGGGAAACCCUGAUCCAGCAAUGCCGCGUGAGUGAUGAAGGCCUUAGGGUUGUAAAGCUCUUUUACCCGGGAUGAUAAUGACAGUACCGGGAGAAUAAGCUCCGGCUAACUCCGUG
rnacentral:rRNA from 1 species